rnacentral:rRNA from 1 species
UACAUAGGGUGCGAGCGUUGUCCGGAAUUACUGGGCGUAAAGAGCUCGUAGGUGGUUUGUCGCGUUGUUCGUGAAAUCUCACGGCUUAACUGUGAGCGUGCGGGCGAUACGGGCAGACUAGAGUACUGCAGGGGAGACUGGAAUUCCUGGUGUAGCGGUGGAAUGCGCAGAUAUCAGGAGGAACACCGGUGGCGAAGGCGGGUCUCUGGGCAGUAACUGACGCUGAGGAGCGAAAGCGUGGGGAGCGAACAGG